rnacentral:lncRNA from 1 species
GUGCCUCUCUUUAAGAGAAUAUGAUACCAUCCCACACUUUUGAUGCACUUGUUUGAUGAGCUAAGUCUAAGCAAGUUCCCCAACUUGAAGACAAUACUCCCAAGUCUCCGAACCUACGAGCUAAAAGCAGGCGUGCCUCUCUUUUAAGAGAAUAUAUAUGAUACCAUCCCCCACUUUUGGCGCACUUGUUUGAUGAGCUAAGUCUAAACGAG